rnacentral:sRNA from 2 species
CGGGGGCAAGAGGUUCGACCCGAGCGAAGCGAGAGAACGUUGCGUCAGCAACGGCCCGCAGGGCGAGCCACGCAGUGGCGAGUCAUCCUCUAUCACCGACCA